UGGGGAAUAUUGCACAAUGGGGGAAACCCUGAUGCAGCAACGCCGCGUGAGUGAAGAAGUAUUUCGGUAUGUAAAGCUCUAUCAGCAGGGAAGAAAAUGACGGUACCUGACUAAGAAGCCCCGGCUAACUACGUGCCAGCAGCCGCGGUAAUACGUAGGGGGCAAGCGUUAUCCGGAUUUACUGGGUGUAAAGGGAGCGUAGACGGCGCUGCAAGUCUGAAGUGAAAGUCCGGGGCUCAACCCCGGGACUGCUUUGGAAACUGUAAUGCUAGAGUGCUGGAGAGGUAAGUGGAAUUCCUAGUGUAGCGGUGAAAUGCGUAGAUAUUAGGAGGAACACCAGUGGCGAAGGCGGCUUACUGGACAGUAACUGACGUUGAGGCUCGAAAGCGUGGGGAGCAAACAGGAUUAGAUACCCUGGUAGUCCACGCGGUAAACGAUGAAUGCUAGGUGUUGGGGAGCAAAGCUCUUCGGUGCCGUCGCAAACGCAAUAAGCAUUCCACCUGGGGAGUACGUUCGCAAGAAUGAAACUCAAAGGAAUUGACGGGGACCCGCACAAGCGGUGGAGCAUGUGGUUUAAUUCGAAGCAACGCGAAGAACCUUACCAAGUCUUGACAUCCUUCUGACCGGCGCGUAACGGCGCCUUCUCUUCGGAGCAGGAGUGACAGGUGGUGCAUGGUUGUCGUCAGCUCGUGUCGUGAGAUGUUGGGUUAAGUCCCGCAACGAGCGCAACCCUUAUCCUUAGUAGCCAGCAGUAAGAUGGGCACUCUAGGGAGACUGCCAGGGAUAACCCGGAGGAAGGUGGGGAUGACGUCAAAUCAUCAUGCCCCUUAUGACCAGGGCUACACACGUGCUACAAUGGCGUAAACAAAGGGAAGCGAGCCCGCGAGGGGGAGCAAAUCCCAAAAAUAACGUCUCAGUUCGGAUUGUAGUCUGCAACUCGACUACAUGAAGCUGGAAUCGCUAGUAAUCGCGAAUCAGAAUGUCGCGGUGAAUACGUUCCC
rnacentral:rRNA from 1 species